rnacentral:lncRNA from 1 species
GAAGAAGGAUUUUAGUAGCAAAGGGAGUAAUUAGGGCACCAAUAUAGAUGAAUGGAGAUGGAUGAUGAAAAUCUCGAUUCCUAUUAGUCAAAAAUCAUGACAAAUGGGCUUUGAAGAGGCUAUCUGAUGCCAUAUUAGAGAUUAAGAUUAAUUUUUUGACGCAAUUUGAGCUUUCAAGGCUAGGGUCAACAAGUUUAGGUUUUUGGCUAUGGUUUUGGUCCAAAUCUUGUAUGAUUUGGAAUUUAUAUGAAGGAGAUAUAGGCGCUCAAAGUUAAGGUGUUGAUUUGGGAGCUAUUGUCACACUUUCUGAUAUAAUGCACGCAUACAAAAAGCAAUUGAAGAUU